GGGGUUGUAGCUUAGCUAGGUAGAGCGCCUGGCUCAUAACCAGGUGGUCAUUGGUUCGAAUCCGAUCAGCCCCA
rfam:Thermoplasmatales archaeon Gpl AMDT5_GPLC00003, whole genome shotgun sequence.